rnacentral:lncRNA from 1 species
GAAUGGGUCAGAAGUUAGAAGUUACAGGAAAAACGUUUCAGAGCAAAAGCCACACCCUGCCCAGAGAAAAACAAUUCCUGUCCACUGCUCAGCUCAGCAGCAAAACUGAAACUAGUGACUCGAAUUUCAAAUCACUACGAGGAUGGUAGUGAUAUCGUUACUGACUCCACCAAGGACACCCAGGCCCAACCCCCCACAUGACACCCAGCAUCCUGGUUUCCACCUGCCCUCACAAGCUUCUCAACCACAGGCCCAGAUGUUCUCGAGGCUCACAUGCUGUGGUCCAGCCUCUGGAUAGAUACAUCGGAAAAACUGCAACUGAGGACGAAGAGGUUAAAAAAAUCUUCCCUGGGCAAGAAGAAGAGAACAAAACCUUUGAGAUAAGCUUUCCUAACACAGCUGUGCAUAUCCAGCAUGAUCAACGGUUGUUCAAAAGUAACCAGGUCUUUCUGUCCCUCCCUCGUAUGUGAGUGAGCAUCUUUCCCGGGAAGUCAAGGUCCAGACAUGGAGAUUCAGCCUCGCAAGGCCAAAUGCAAGUUGAAGAUGAAAACAAACCAGAAAAGUCCAGAUGGUCAGGGAAAAGAAAAUUCAGUCUUCAAGGCCAAACACAGGCUGCUGGCGAGGCGCCAACCAGCACAGCCACUUGGUUCCCAUUCCCACCUAAAACCCCAGCACGUGCUCCCCCUCUCCCACCUAAAACUCUAGAUAAAAACCUCUACCUCUUUCCCUUCAAGGAGGUGGAUCUGAGUUCUAACUCCCAUCUCCUCAUCUGGCUGCCUUUUGAUAAUAGUAAACCUCUUUUCUUG